CAUAAAAUGUAAUUUAACUACAUUCCUCUAGUUGGAAACUUCUAUGGAGAUCAUUCCAUGAGUCAAGAUUUAACAGCAUGAUAUCAUUGACACAAUCCAACAUAUCAUAACGUAACAACAACACACAACUUAGCAUUGCUGAUAAAAUGAUAAUGCUCUUACAGUUAUUGAUUCAUUCUUCUAACCUUGUUUCCUAGAGUUACGCUGCAGUCUUCUAAUUUCUAAGUGGCUUUGUUUAGCGUCUGCUAAUGGCGUGGUUUUGUUCGGAUGCUUGUUUUAUACAUGGUUUGUUUCUAUCCCGGCGGCUUCUAAGGGGCAGGAGAUGGCGUGCAGGUGUUCUGCUCUAGUGGGGUUAUACUGCUGGAUCCAAGACGACUGGUUGUAAGCCUCACUGUCCCUUCGUCUUGCAUACUGACUGGACAAAUAGUAGAUAGUAGUAUUAAGUAAUAAUAGUAAGUAAUAGUAGUAUAUUUCGGAUGGAAAGACUCGUUCAGACAAAGAGACUUAUUUAGACGGACAGACGUAGUUGAGAACAGAAGUUCUCAACUACGCCCUGAAUGGGCGUAGUUAAGGCAACGCCUGCCAAGGGCUGCACUCUUUCUGAAUAAUAGCCGUUGGGCGUUUCACUCAAUACUUUAAGAAACAUUGCAUCCUCACUGACUCAAAGGACACCCGCAGCUCCAACAACACGAGCCAUCAGAGAACCAGCAAGAUCAUCCAGACAUGUUUGGAAAUAAUAAUGCAGGUAGCUGCCAUCCAUCUGGUUAUGACCUGGGGCCCGUGCCAGGGGCCGACCCAUGCCCAGGGGGCGAUCAGGAGGGCCUCGACCUGAGCUUACUUGAUUUUGGAAACGAUGGAAAAAAAGGCGACCGUCAGUGUGACAACCGUGGGUCUGAAGACGACGCCCGGGACAAAGGCCGUUGCCAUGAUGAUGACCGCAGGGAAAGAGACGGUCACCGCGGCGACAAGGACUGCGAUUCCGGUGAUCGUGACGCCGGCCGUCGCCGCGACGAUGAAUGCCGUGAAAAGGGUGGUCGCCGCGACGACUAGCACUGCGAUUCCGGUGAUCGUGACGGCGGCCGUCGCCGCGACGAUGACUGCCGUGAAAAGGGUGGUCGCCGGGACGACAAGCACUGCGAUUCCGGUGAUCGUGAUGCCGACCGUCGCCGCGACGAUGACUGCCGGGACAAAGAGGAUCGCCAUGGCGAUAGAGGAGGCAGAUGCAGCCCCAAACAGCGUGAUGGGAGCCACGAGCGCCACCGCAAAAACAGCAAGAGUCCGGACCACCGUCGCCGAGGCAGUAAAAGCCCUCGCCGUCGCCGAGGCAGCAACAGCCCUCGCCGUCGCCAUGGUAGCGGCCAUGGUAGCGGCCAUGGUAGCGGCAGCGGCAGCGGCAGCGGCAGUAGUGGCAGUGAGAGCGACGGCAACCACGGGCGCAGACGUAAGCACAAGGGCCACAAGCAUGGGCAUGGGCACGGGCACGGGCAUGGGCAUGGGGGUGGUAGGGGAAAGGGCCAUGGUCAUAAGCACUGCUAGAUGUUCCUCAUGAGUCCGAUCUACAGAACGCACAUUUGCACCAAACUAGAUGGUACAUACAUACAGUAAUGGAUGAUUGUAUGCAGAGUAGUUAUGUGGUUAUGUUACACCUUCCUAUUGGAUGAUGUCCUGAGGAAAAUUGUAACUGAAUGACAAUAAUAAUAAAGUCAUAAUCUCACAAUG
ensembl:lncRNA